CCUACGGGAGGCAGCAGUGAGGAAUAUUGGUCAAUGGACGAGAGUCUGAACCAGCCAAGUAGCGUGAAGGAUGCCUGCUCUAUGGGUUGUAAACUUCUUUUAUAUGGGAAUAAAAUGUUCCACGUGUGGGAGUUUGUAUGUACCAUAUGAAUAAGGAUCGGCUAACUCCGUGCCAGCAGCCGCGGUAAUACGGAGGAUCCGAUCGUUAUCCGGAUUUAUUGGGUCUAAAGGGGGCGUAGGUGGAUUGUUAAGGCAGUUGUGAAAGUUUGCGGCUCAACCGUAAAAUUGCAGUUGAAACUGGCAGUCUUGAGUACAGUAGAGGUGGGCGGAAUUCGUGGUGUAGCGGUGAAAUGCUUAGAUAUCACGAAGAACUCCGAUUGCGAAGGCAGCUCACUGGACUGCAACUGACACUGAGGCUCGAAAGUGUGGGUAUCAAACAGGAUUAGAUACCCCUGUAGUC
rnacentral:rRNA from 1 species